rnacentral:tRNA from 1 species
UGUAGCUUAGUGGUAGAGCGCUUGCCUAGCGUGCAUAAGGCCCUGGGUUCCACUUCCAGCA